rnacentral:rRNA from 1 species
GGCCAAGUUUUUAAGGGCGCACGGUGGAUGCCUUGGCACUAGGAACCGAUGAAGGACGUGGGAGGCCGCGAUAGGCCCCGGGGAGCUGUCAACCGAGCUUUGAUCCGGGGGUGUCCGAAUGGGGAAACCCGGCAGUCGUCAUGGGCUGUCACCCGCUGCUGAACACAUAGGCAGUGUGGAGGGAACGCGGGGAAGUGAAACAUCUCAGUACCCGCAGGAAGAGAAAACAACCGUGAUUCCGGGAGUAGUGGCGAGCGAAACUGGAUGAGGCUAAACCGUAUUGGUGUGAGACCCGGCAGGGGUUGCCAAUGCGGGGUUGUGGGAAUGAGCUUCAGUCGUCUGCCGGCGGCUGGGCGAGUCAGAAACCGUAUGGGUAGUCGAAGGACAUGCGAAAGGUCCGGCGUAGAGGGUAAGACCCCCGUAGACGAAAUCUGUACGGCUUGCUUGCUCAUCUCCCAAGUAGCACGGGGCCCGAGAAAUCCCGUGUGAAUCUGGCGGGACCACCCGCUAAGCCUAAAUAUUCCCUAGUGACCGAUAGCGGAUAGUACCGUGAGGGAAUGGUGAAAAGUACCGCGGGAGCGGAGUGAAAUAGUACCUGAAACCGUGUGCCUACAAGCCGUGGGAGCGUCGUUCAUCAGCUUGCUGGUGGGCCGUGACUGCGUGCCUUUUGAAGAAUGAGCCUGCGAGUUUGCGGUGUGUAGCGAGGUUAACCCGUGUGGGGUAGCCGUAGCGAAAGCGAGUCCGAAUAGGGCGUUUGAGUUGCAUGCCCAAGACCCGAAGCGGAGUGAUCUAGCCAUGGGCAGGUUGAAGCGCGGGUAAGACCGUGUGGAGGACCGAACCCACCAGGGUUGAAAACCUGGGGGAUGACCUGUGGUUAGGGGUGAAAGGCCAAUCAAACUCCGUGAUAGCUGGUUCUCCCCGAAAUGCAUUUAGGUGCAGCGUCACGUGUUUCUUGCCGGAGGUAGAGCACUGGAUAGGCGAUGGGCCUUACCGGGUUACUGACCUUAGCCAAACUCCGAAUGCCGGUAAGUGAGAGCGUGGCAGUGAGACUGUGGGGGAUAAGCUCCAUGGUCGAGAGGGAAACAGCCCAGAACACCGACUAAGGUCCCUAAGCGUGUGCUAAGUGGGAAAGGAUGUGGAGUCGCAGAGACAACCAGGAGGUUGGCUUAGAAGCAGCCACCCUUGAAAGAGUGCGUAAUAGCUCACUGGUCAAGUGAUUCCGCGCCGACAAUGUAGCGGGGCUCAAGCACAUCACCGAAGUCGUGUCAUUGCAGCAUGAAGGGCUAACGCCUGCUGUGAUGGGUAGGGGAGCGUCGUGUGCCGGGUGAAGCGGCGGUGGAAACCAGUCGUGGACGGUAUACGAGUGAGAAUGCAGGCAUGAGUAGCGAUACAAGAGUGGGAAACUCUUGCGCCGAUUGACCAAGGGUUCCUGGGUCAAGCUGAUCUGCCCAGGGUAAGUCGGGACCUAAGGCGAGGCCGACAGGCGUAGUCGAUGGACAACGGGUUGAUAUUCCCGUACCCGCUUUGAAGCGCCAACGCUGAACCAGGUAAUGCUAAGGCCGUGAAGCCGUCCUGGAGCCUUCGGGCAAAGGGAAGUGGUGGAGCCGNNNNNNNNNNNNNNNNNNNNNNNNNNNNNNNNNNNNGUCUGAGACCUGAUGCCGAGCCGAUUGUGGUGAAGUGGAUGAUCCUAUGCUGUCGAGAAAAGCCUCUAGCGAGUUUCAUGGCGGCCCGUACCCCAAACCGACUCAGGUGGUCAGGUAGAGAAUACCGAGGCGUUCGGGUGAACUAUGGUUAAGGAACUCGGCAAAAUGCCCCCGUAACUUCGGGAGAAGGGGGGCCAUUCCUGGUGAUGGGCCUUGCGCCUUGAGCUGGGGGUGGCCGCAGAGACCAGCGAGAAGCGACUGUUUACUAAAAACACAGGUCCGUGCGAAGCCGUAAGGCGAUGUAUACGGACUGACGCCUGCCCGGUGCUGGAACGUUAAGGGGACCGGUUAGCUUGGAUUCGUCCAGGCGAAGCUGAGAACUUAAGCGCCAGUAAACGGCGGUGGUAACUAUAACCAUCCUAAGGUAGCGAAAUUCCUUGUCGGGUAAGUUCCGACCUGCACGAAUGGCGUAACGACUUCUCGACUGUCUCAACCAUAGGCCCGGUGAAAUUGCAUUACGAGUAAAGAUGCUCGUUUCGCGCAGCAGGACGGAAAGACCCCGGGACCUUUACUAUAGCUUGAUAUUGGUGUUCGGUUCGGCUUGUGUAGGAUAGGUGGGAGACUUUGAAGCCGUGACGCCAGUCAUGGUGGAGUCGUCGUUGAAAUACCACUCUGGUCGUGCUGGAUGUCUAACCUGGGUCCGUGAUCCGGAUCAGGGACAGUGUCUGGUGGGUAGUUUAACUGGGGCGGUUGCCUCCUAAAGGGUAACGGAGGCGCCCAAAGGUUCCCUCAGCCUGGUUGGCAAUCAGGUGUUGAGUGUAAGUGCACAAGGGAGCUUGACUGUGAGACUGACGGGUCGAGCAGGUACGAAAGUAGGGACUAGUGAUCCGGCGGUGGCUUGUGGAAGCGCCGUCGCUCAACGGAUAAAAGGUACCCCGGGGAUAACAGGCUGAUCUUCCCCAAGAGUCCAUAUCGACGGGAUGGUUUGGCACCUCGAUGUCGGCUCGUCGCAUCCUGGGGCUGGAGUAGGUCCCAAGGGUUGGGCUGUUCGCCCAUUAAAGCGGUACGCGAGCUGGGUUUAGAACGUCGUGAGACAGUUCGGUCCCUAUCCGCUGUGCGCGUAGGAGUGUUGAGAAGGGCUGUCCCUAGUACGAGAGGACCGGGACGGACGAACCUCUGGUGUGCCAGUUGUUCUGCCAAGGGCAUGGCUGGUUGGCUACGUUCGGGAGGGAUAACCGCUGAAAGCAUCUAAGCGGGAAGCCUGCUUCGAGAUGAGCACUCCCACCUCCUUGAGAGGGUAAGGCUCCCAGUAGACGACUGGGUUGAUAGGCCGGAUAUGGAAGCCCUGUGAGGGGUGGAGUUGACCGGUACUAAUAGGCCGAGGGCUUGUCCUC